rnacentral:rRNA from 1 species
GGCGGACGGGUGAGUAACGCGUGGGUAACCUGCCUCAUACAGGGGGAUAACGUAGUAAGAGCUGCUAAUACCGCAUAAGCGCACAGUACCGCAUGGUACGGUGUGAAAAACUCCGGUGGUAUGAGAUGGACCCGCGUCUGAUUAGGUAGUUGGUGGGGUAACGGCCUACCAAGCCGACGAUCAGUAGCCGACCUGAGAGGGUGACCGGCCACAUUGGGACUGAGACACGGCCCAA